UGCCAGCAGCCGCGGUAAUACGGAGGAUGCAGGCGUUAUUCGGAAUUAUUGGGCUUAAAGGGUGCGUAGGCGGCGAUGUAGGUGGGGUGUGAAAUCCCUCGGCUCAACCGAGGAACUGCGCCCCAAACCACAUGGCUAGAGGGAGACAGAGGUAAGCGGAACUGAUGGUGGAGCGGUGAAAUGCGUUGAUAUCAUCAGGAACACCAGUGGCGAAAGCGGCUUACUGGGUCUCUUCUGACGCUGAGGCACGAAAGCUAGGGUAGCGAACGGGAUUAGAUA
rnacentral:rRNA from 1 species